AUUGCCCCAGUAACGGCGAGUGAAGCGGCAACAGCUCAAAUUUGAAAUCUGGCCUCGGCCCGAGUUGUAAUUUGCAGAGGAUGCUUCUGGCGCGGUGCCUUCCGAGUUCCCUGGAACGGGACGCCAUAGAGGGUGAGAGCCCCGUAUGGUUGGAUACCUAGCCUGUGUGAAGCUCCUUCGACGAGUCGAGUAGUUUGGGAAUGCUGCUCAAAAUGGGAGGUAUAUCUCUUCUAAAGCUAAAUACCGGCCAGAGACCGAUAGCGCACAAGUAGAGUGAUCGAAAGAUGAAAAGCACCUUGAAAAGGGGGUUAAACAGCACGUGAAAUUGUUGAAAGGGAAGCGCCUAUGACCAGACUUGUGCCCGGCGGAUCACCCAGCGUUCUCGCUGGGGCACUCCGCCGGGUCCAGGCCAGCAUCGGUUUUCGCCGGGGGAUAAAGGCUCUGGGAACGUAGCUCCUCCGGGAGUGUUAUAGCCCUCUGCGUAAUACCCUGGCGGGGACCGAGGUACGCGCUCCGCAAGGAUGCUGGCGUAAUGGUCAUCAGCGACCCGUCUUGAAACACGGAUCAAGGAGUCGUCCAUUAGAGCGAGCGUUUGGGUGUCAAACCCGCACGCGUAAUGAAAGUGAACGUAGGUGAGAGCUUCGGCGCAUCAUCGACCGAUCCUGAUGUCCUCGGAUGGAUUUGAGUAUGAGUUUUACUGGACGGACCCGAAAGAUGGUGAACUAUGCCUGUAUAGGGUGAAGCCAGAGGAAACUCUGGUGGAGGCUCGCAGCGGUCUGACGUGCAAAUCGAUCGUCAAAUAUGGGCAUGGGGGCGAAAGACUAAUCGAACCAUCUAGUAGCUGGUUACCGCCGAAGUUUCCCUCAGGAUAGCAGUGUUGAUCUUCAGUUUUAUGAGGUAAAGCGAAUGAUUAGGGACUCGGGGGCGCUAUUUAGCCUUCAUCCAUUCUCAAACUUUAAAUAUGUAAGAAGCCCUUGUUACUUAGUUGAACGUGGGCAUUCGAAUGUACCAACACUAGUGGGCCAUUUUUGGUAAGCAGAACUGGCGAUGCGGGAUGAACCGAACGCGGGGUUAAGGUGCCGGAGUGGACGCUCAUCAGACACCACAAAAGGUGUUAGUACAUCUUGACAGCAGGACGGUGGCCAUGGAAGUCGGAAUCCGCUAAGGACUGUGUAACAACUCACCUGCCGAAUGUACUAGCCCUGAAAAUGG
rnacentral:rRNA from 1 species